rnacentral:lncRNA from 1 species
GAACCUGUCAGCAAAAUGUAUAGACUCAACUUCCAUAGUAUAUGAUAGAGGGAAGACAUUUUUAAGAAGUAAUACGCCAUGUUAGCAAGUUAGAUUAGAAAUGGGGUACCUUCACUUAGACAUCCUUUUAAAAUUACAUUUUCAUAUCCAAUAAUCACACAUUGUAUAACAAAAUAUAUAAUAAUAAAUGACUAAUAUAUCCAAUACCAAUAUGUUUUUGUAUAUAUAUAUAUUUUAAAACAGUUUAUACACACUGAACUUCAUAGAACAUAUGAACAGUCAAAAGCAGUAAUCACUGGUAAUGGGUGGAUUUCAAAAUCUGUGGUUAAUAGUGGUGCAUACAUAGUGUAAAUAAAUGGCCAUGGUAUUGUUAGCUACAUCCUUACAGAUACUUAUAAUUUAAAUAACCCUCUUGGUAACUGAAGUCACUAAAAGGGAAAUAUGUUCAAAGUUGAACCAAUACUAUAAUAUCAAUUUGGUUUCUUUUUUGUUCUGUUUUUCAUGACAAAAUGCCACGGUAUUUGAACAAAUAUUUAGUAUUAAGGAUUUUAUCAUAGAAAAGGGUUGUGAGAGACAAACAAGAGAAGAUUAUGGAUAAGAAAAUUAAGAAUAAUGAUAUUGUUAUGGUCAUAAAUGUUAUUUCAGGCUAAGGUUUUCUGUACAGUCAUAAAAAGGAUAAAUUAUCAAAUAUGUUUUGCCAUAAAAAUGCUUGAUGCCAAUCAUUACCCUUUUCCAUGAAGUAUUUGGUUUUAGAUGACAUUGAAUUGAUUAAUUUUUGAGUUUGUUAAGCAUAAACUCUAUGUCAGCACUUUGAGCAAAGCAUACAGUCGAUUCGUCACUUAAUGGUAUAAUUUCAAUACAUCUCAGAAAAAUGAGGUAUCAGACAGAAUUAAAAUAUUUUGAAGGCUAAAUGAACAAAAUGAUGUAAAAAAUC